rfam:Glycine soja cultivar W05 scaffold4562_6, whole genome shotgun sequence.
UUGGAGGCAAUGAUGGUACGAACUACCUAUUUUAUUAGGGAAAAGAUAAUUUUCCCUUGUCAUUACAAAACUACCAAUGGAUCCUUCUGAGCCUUUCU